rnacentral:misc_RNA from 1 species
AACGGUCUAUACCUGCGGUACCUGCGGAGGGAUCAUUAUAGAGUGGUAAACCCUCUGUAAAAGGGGGGGACCUCCUGUCCUUUGUAGGCUCUUUUUUAAAGGGCUUUUUUUAAUUUUCUGCUUCGGUGGGGUUAUCCCACCGGAACAACCUCAAAACUCUGAUCAAAAAAUCGUUCUGUCUGAGAACUUUUUAUAAUAAAAAAAAAACUUUUAACAACGGAUCUCUAGAUCGGAAGAGCA